rnacentral:rRNA from 1 species
GAUGAACGCUGGCGGCGUGCCUAAUACAUGCAAGUCGAACGCGAAGCCCGAUUUCGAUUGGGUGGAGAGUGGCGAACGGGUGAGUAACACAUGGCUGACCUGCCCCUCAGAGGGGGACAACCACGGGAAACUGUGGCUAAUACCCCGUACGCUCACGGUGGUUAGAGGCACCGUGAGGAAAGCUAUGGUGCUGAGGGAGGGGGCUGUGGCCCAUCAGCUAGUUGGCAGGGUAACGGCCUACCAAGGCGAGGACGGGUAGGGGGCCUGAGAGGGUGACCCCCCACACUGGAACUGAGAGACGGUCCAGACUCCUACGGGUGGCA